AUUGAACGCUGGCGGCAUGCCUUACACAUGCAAGCCGAACGGCAGCACGGGUGCUUGCACCUGGUGGCGAGUGGCGAACGGGUGAGUAAUACAUCGGAACGUACCUUAUCGUGGGGGAUAACGCAGCGAAAGUUGCGCUAAUACCGCAUACGCCCUGAGGGGGAAAGCGGGGGGCCGGAAGGCCUCGCGCGAUUAGAGCGGCCGAUGUCUGAUUAGCCUGUUGGUGGGGUAAAAGCCCACCAAGGCGACGAUCAGUAGCUGGUCUGAGAGGACGAUCAGCCACACUGGGACUGAGACACGGCCCAGACUCCUACGGGAGGCAGCAGUGGGGAAUUUUGGACAAUGGGGGCAACCCUGAUCCAGCAAUGCCGCGUGAGUGAAGAAGGCCUUCGGGUUGUAAAGCUCUUUUGUCAGGGAAGAAACACCGGCUCUAACACAGUCCGGGAAUGACGGUACCUGAAGAAUAAGCACCGGCUAACUACGUGCCAGCCGCCGCGGUAA
rnacentral:rRNA from 1 species